rnacentral:rRNA from 1 species
UACGUAGGCAGCGAGCGUUGUUCGGAGUUACUGGGCGUAAAGGGUGUGUAGGCGGCCUCUUAAGUUUGGGGUGAAAUCCUGGAGCUCAACUCCAGAACUGCCUUCGAUACUGGCGAUCUUGAGUCCGGAAGAGGUGAGUGGAACUCCUAGUGUAGAGGUGGAAUUCGUAGAUAUUAGGAAGAACACCAGUGGCGAAGGCGGCUCACUGGUCCGGUACUGACGCUGAGGUGCGAAAGCGUGGGGAGCAAACAGG